GCGCCGGUGGUGUAAGACGAAUAUCGCUGCCCAGAAGGCAGCGAACGCGGGUUCGAGUCCCGCCUGGCGCA
rnacentral:tRNA from 1 species